rnacentral:rRNA from 1 species
GAUGAACGCUGGCGGCGUGCCUAAUACAUGCAAGUCGAGCGAACGGACGAGAAGCUUGCUUCUCUGAUGUUAGCGGCGGACGGGUGAGUAACACGUGGAUAACCUACCUAUAAGACUGGGAUAACUUCGGGAAACCGGAGCUAAUACCGGAUAAUAUUUUGAACCGCAUGGUUCAAAAGUAAAAGACGGUCUUGCUGUCACUUAUAGAUGGAUCCGCGCUGCAUUAGCUAGUUGGUAAGGUAACGGCUUACCAAGGCAACGUUGCAUAGCCGACCUGAGAGGGUGAUCGGCCACACUGGAACUGAGACACGGUCCAGACUCCUACGGGAGGCAGCAGUAGGGAAUCUUCCGCAAUGGGCGAAAGCCUGACGGAGCAACGCCGCGUGAGUGAUGAAGGUCUUCGGAUCGUAAAACUCUGUUGUUAGGGAAGAACAUAUGUGUAAGUAACUGUGCACAUCUUGACGGUACCUAAUCAGAAAGCCACGGCUAACUACGUG